UACGUAGGUGGCGAGCGUUGUCCGGAUUUACUGGGCGUAAAGAGCGCGCAGGCGGCUGGUCAAGUCCGAUGUGAAAGCUCCCGGCUUAACUGGGAAAUUGCAUCGGAAACUGAUCGGCUGGAAGGUGGGAGAGGGUAGCGGAAUUCCCGGUGUAGUGGUGAAAUGCGUAGAUAUCGGGGAGGAACACCAGUGGCGAAGGCGGCUUUCUGGCCUGUUCUUGACGCUGAGGCGGCGAAAGCUAGGGGAGCGAACGGG
rnacentral:rRNA from 1 species